UACGUAGGAGGCAAGCGUUGUCCGGAAUUACUGGGCGUAAAGAGCGCGUAGGCGGCGCGGUACGACCGCUGUGAAAGCCCCCAGCUCAACUGGGGAGGGUCAGCGGUAACGGCCGUGCUUUGAGUGCAGGAGAGGGAAGUGGAACUCCGGGAGUAGCGGUGAAAUGCGUAGAGACCCGGAGGAACACCAGUGGCGAAGGCGGCUUCCUGGUCUGCGACUGACGCUGUGGCGCGAAAGCUAGGGGAGCAAACGGG
rnacentral:rRNA from 1 species